GAUGGUCUGGGACCCCCCAGACGAUGCUGGCAAGGACCAGCCAAUGGACAAGCGGCAAGCCCUGGGGAGACAAGAAUCUGUCAUUUACUUGGAAAACUUCAAAAGGCAAUAUGCCAGGAGGUGAUGGAAGCUCUCUUACAGGAUUUUCUCAGUGUGCAACCACUUAUCUCGCUCACAGAUGAGAAAGGUUCCACUGAUGCAGGAUGAAAGUUCGGUAGGUACAUUGAAAAAACAAGGGGAAGAGAGAAGGAAAAAGCAACCAUUUUACUGUGACAUGAAUCUUGCUCCCCUAGCAUGGGCACCCAAUGUCCAAAAUGUAUCAGAACCAGCAUGGUUCUGGGUAGUCAAUCCAUGGAGAAGCCAAACCAUGAGAUGCUGUAGCUUUUGUGAACCCUGAGCCAUUGCUCCAACAGUAAAAGCAGCAAAGAAUCCUGUGGCACCUUAUAGACUAACAGACGUUUUGGAGCAUGAGCUUUCGUGGGUGAAUACCCACUUCCUCAGCUGCAUGUAUUUUGUGCUUCCUUAGUCCGUUUGCUCACAUAGGGAGCUUCUACUGAAGUCUAUCGCAAAAUCCCACUGGCAUCAGUAGUGCAAGAUUGGCCCUUAGCAUCAAAUUCCCAUUCCCUAUGCAAAGCCCAUUUACGUUGGCUUUGCAUGGGGGAACUACAAUACAGAGUAGGUUUGGGGAUGAAAUCCCCUCUUCCCCACACAGCAUAGAGCAACUGCACCCCUCACCUCUCUCAGUUAAGGGUUUGAUACCAAGCUCAUCACUAUGAGAGCCAUGUACCUAGUGCAACUUUCAUACUACUCCCCCAUAUCAUAAUUUUGGCCAAUGAAUACAGUUUGCAGAGCCACUGGCCACUCCUUGCUCCCCAUUUAUGCCACAGAUAGCACUGUUGGAGCAAGUAUCAGAGGGGUAGCCGUGUUAGUCUGGAUCUGUAAAAGCAGCAAAGA